CCAGCACCCCGAGUGGUCGGGACGAUUAUUGGGCCUAAAGCAUCCGUAGCCGGUCUUGCAAAUCCUCCGUUAAAUCCAGCUGCUCAACAGAUGGGCUGCGGAGGAUACUACAAGGCUAGGAGGCGGGAGAGGCAAGCGGUACUCAGUGGGUAGGGGUAAAAUCCUCUGAUCCAUUGAAGACCACCAGUGGCGAAGGCGGCUUGCCAGAACGCGCUCGACGGUGAUGGAUGAAAGCUGGGGGAGCAAACCGGAUUAGAUACCCGGGUAGUCCCAGCUGUAAACGAUGCAGACUCGGUGAUGGGCCGGCUUUAUGCCAGCUCAGUGCCGCAGGGAAGCCGUUAAGUCUGCCGCCUGGGGAUACGGUCGCAAGACUG
rnacentral:rRNA from 1 species